CGCGUAGGUGGUAGUGUAAGUCUGGGGUGGAAUCCCAGGGCUUAACCCUGGAACUGCCUUGGAAACUGCAUUACUUGAGUCAGUGAGGGGAGGGUAGAAUUCCUGGUGUAGCGGUGAAAUGCGUAGAUAUCAGGAGGAAGGCCUGUGGCGAAGGCGGCCCUCUGGCGCUGGACUGACACUGAGGCGCGAAAGCGUGGGGAGCAAACAGGAUUAGAUACCCUGGUAGUCCACGCCCUAAACGGUGGGCACUAGGUGCAGGGCUCGUAAGGGUUCUGUGCCGAAGGGAAACCAUUAAGUGCCCCGCCUGGGGAGUACGGCCGCAAGGUUGAA
rnacentral:rRNA from 1 species